rnacentral:rRNA from 1 species
UACGGGAGGCAGCAGUGGGGAAUUUUGGACAAUGGGCAGCAAGCCUGAUCCUAGCAAUGCCGCGUGCAGGAAGAAGGCCUUCGGGUUGUAAACUGCUUUUGUACGGAACGAAAAGGUCUGGGUUAAUACCCUGGGCUCAUGACGGUACCGUAAGAAUAAGCACCGGCU